UAAAAAAAGGUAAGCUACUAAGAGCGAAUGGUGGAUGCCUUGACUGGUAAAGGCGAUGAAGGACGUACUAGACUGCGAUAAGCUACGGGGAGCUGUCAAGAAGCUUUGAUCCGUAGAUUUCCGAAUGGGGCAACCCAAUGUAUAGAGAUAUACAUUACCUAUAUAGGAGCGAACGAGGGGAAUUGAAACAUCUUAGUACCCUCAGGAAAAGAAAUCAAUAGAGAUUGCGUCAGUAGCGGCGAGCGAAAGCGCAAGAGGGCAAACCCAGUGCUUGCACUGGGGGUUGUAGGACUGCAAUGUGCAAGAGCUGAGUUUAGCAGAACAUUCUGGAAAGUAUAGCCAUAGAGGGUGAUAGUCCCGUAUGCGAAAAACAAAGCUUAGCUAGCAGUAUCCUGAGUAGGGCGGGACACGAGGAAUCCUGUCUGAAUCCGGGUCGACCACGAUCCAACCCUAAAUACUAAUACCAGAUCGAUAGUGCACAAGUACCGUGAGGGAAAGGUGAAAAGAACUGAGGUGAUCAGAGUGAAAUAGAACCUGAAACCAUUUGCUUACAAUCAUUCAGAGCACUAUGUAGCAAUACAGUGUGAUGGACUGCCUUUUGCAUAAUGAGCCUGCGAGUUGUGGUGUCUGGCAAGGUUAAGCAAACGCGAAGCCGUAGCGAAAGCGAGUCUGAAUAGGGCGCUUAGUCAGAUGCUGCAGACCCGAAACGAAGUGAUCUAUCCAUGAGCAAGUUGAAGCUAGUGUAAGAACUAGUGGAGGACUGAACCCAUAGGCGUUGAAAAGCCCCGGGAUGACUUGUGGAUAGGGGUGAAAGGCCAAUCAAACUUCGUGAUAGCUGGUUCUCUCCGAAAUAUAUUUAGGUAUAGCGUUGUGUCGUAAUAUAAGGGGGUAGAGCACUGAAUGGGCUAGGGCAUACACCAAUGUACCAAACCCUAUCAAACUCCGAAUACCUUAUAUGUAAUCACAGCAGUCAGGCGGCGAGUGAUAAAAUCCGUCGUCAAGAGGGAAACAACCCAGACUACCAGCUAAGGUCCCUAAAUCUUACUUAAGUGGAAAACGAUGUGAAGUUACUUAAACAACCAGGAGGUUGGCUUAGAAGCAGCCAUCCUUUAAAGAAAGCGUAAUAGCUCACUGGUCUAGUGAUUUUGCGCGGAAAAUAUAACGGGGCUAAAGUAAGUACCGAAGCUGUAGACUUGCACACAACUUAGAUUAUUUAAGUUUAGAAUAUGAGAAACUAAGUUAUAUGUUUAGUUAUAUUUUUACUGAUUUUUAUAGAGUAAAGAUAGAAAUAAAACUUAGUAAAAUCAGUAAAAAUAUUCUUAGGCUAAAGUUAAGUAGUUUAAGUUGUGUGCAAGUGGUAGGAGAGCGUUCUAUUUGCGUCGAAGGUAUACCGGUAAGGAGUGCUGGAGCGAAUAGAAGUGAGCAUGCAGGCAUGAGUAGCGAUAAUUAAUGUGAGAAUCAUUAACGCCGUAAACCCAAGGUUUCCUACGCGAUGCUCGUCAUCGUAGGGUUAGUCGGGUCCUAAGUCGAGUCCGAAAGGGGUAGACGAUGGCAAAUUGGUUAAUAUUCCAAUACCAACAUUAGUGUGCGAUGGAAGGACGCUUAGGGCUAAGGGGGCUAGCGGAUGGAAGUGCUAGUCUAAGGUUGUAGGAGGUUAUACAGGCAAAUCCGUAUAACAAUACUCCGAGAACUGAAAGGCUUUUUGAAGUCUUCGGAUGGAUAGAAGAACCCCUGAUGCCGUCGAGCCAAGAAAAGUUUCUAAGUUUAGCUAAUGUUGCCCGUACCGUAAACCGACACAGGUGGGUGGGAUGAGUAUUCUAAGGCGCGUGGAAGAACUCUCUUUAAGGAACUCUGCAAAAUAGCACCGUAUCUUCGGUAUAAGGUGUGGUUAGCUUCGUACUAGGAUUUACUCCGAAAGCGAAGAAACUUACAACAAAGAGUCCCUCCCGACUGUUUACCAAAAACACAGCACUCUGCUAACUCGUAAGAGGAUGUAUAGGGUGUGACGCCUGCCCGGUGCUCGAAGGUUAAUUGAUGGGGUUAGCAUUAGCGAAGCUCUUGAUCGAAGCCCGAGUAAACGGCGGCCGUAACUAUAACGGUCCUAAGGUAGCGAAAUUCCUUGUCGGUUAAAUACCGACCUGCAUGAAUGGCGUAACGAGAUGGGAGCUGUCUCAAAGAGGGAUCCAGUGAAAUUGUAGUGGAGGUGAAAAUUCCUCCUACCCGCGGCAAGACGGAAAGACCCCGUGGACCUUUACUACAGCUUGACACUGCUAUUUGGAUAAGAAUGUGCAGGAUAGGUGGGAGGCUUUGAGUAUAUGACGCCAGUUGUAUAUGAGCCAUUGUUGAGAUACCACUCUUUCUUAUUUGGGUAGCUAACCAGCUUGAGUUAUCCUCAAGUGGGACAAUGUCUGGUGGGUAGUUUGACUGGGGCGGUCGCCUCCCAAAUAAUAACGG
rnacentral:rRNA from 1 species